GAAGAAGAAAUUAAUAAUUUUAUAAAUAAUAAAAAUAGUUUUAAUAUUAAAAUUGGGGGGUUUUAGUAUUAAUAAAAAAAAAAUUAUAAAAUUUAUAGUUAAUUAGUAUUGUGAAAGAAUUUUUAAAUAUUUUGAAAAUAAAUUUAAUUUAAAGUAAAAUUUAUUUUUUGUAUCUUGUGUAUCAGAGUUUAUUAAUUUAAUUAUUUUGUUAAAAUAUUUCUCGAAUUUAAAAGAGAUAAAUAGUUAUAAAAGUUAUUGUUACAUAAAUAUUUUAAAUAAUUAUUUUGAAAUGAAAUGUUAAUCGUUUUUAAAAAUAUCUAGUUUUUUUAGAAAAAAAUUUAAUUUUUUUUUUUUUUAUAUUUAUUUAAUUAAUUAAAUAAAUGUAAAAAAAAAAAUAUAUUUUAAGGGAUAAGCUUUAAAUUAAAUUUUUAUAAUUUAAUAAAAUUUUUAAUUAAAAUUUUUAAAAUUUAUAUUGUUUAUAAUUUUUAAUUUAUUAUAAAUAAUUUUAUUUACAAAUAAAAUUUUAUUAAAAUUUAAAUUUUUAUAAAAAAAUUAUUUUAAAUAAAAAAAAUUAAAAUAUAAUGAUAAAAUUAGUAUUUAUAUUAAAAUUAAUAUGUAAAUAAUAAAAAUUAAUUUUAAAGAAUUCGGCAAAUUUAAAAUAAAGUAUGUAUAUAUAUCCCCUUGUUUAUCAAAAACAUGUCUUUUUGGAAAUAAUUUAAAGUUUAAUUUGCCCCCUGAUAUUAUAUUAAAGGGCUGCAGUAUAUUGACUGUACAAAGGUAGCAUAAUCAAUAGUCUCUUAAUUAGUGACUUGUAUGAAGGAUUGAAUGAGAUAUAAGCUGUUUCAAUUUUAAAAAAAAAAAUUAAUUUUUUAGUUAAAAAGCUAAAAUAAAUUUAAAAGACGAGAAGACCCUAUAGAGUUUAAUUAUUAUUAUUAUUAAAAUUAUAUAUUUAAAUAUUAAUUAAAAUAAUAAUAAUAAUUUUAUUGGGGUGAUAAAAAAAUAAAAAAAACUUUUUUUAAGAAAAAAUUCAUAAAUAAUUGAGUUAAAUGAUCCAAAAAUAUUUUGAUUAAAAGAAAAAAUUACCUUAGGGAUAACAGCGUAAUUUUUUUUUUUAGUUCAAAUAAGAAAAAAAGUUUGCGACCUCGAUGUUGGAUUAAGAUAAAAUUUAUAUGCAAAAGUUUAAAAUUUUGAUCUGUUCGAUCAUUAAAAUCUUACAUGAUCUGAGUUCAAACCGGUGUGAGCCAGGUUGGUUUCUAUCUUUAGAAUGUUAAAAUAUUUUAGUACGAAAGGAAUUAAUAUUUAAAUUAAAUUUAAUUUUGGAAUUUUAUUAAAUAAUUUAUAAAAUAAUGAAUUUAUAGUUUAAUU
rnacentral:rRNA from 1 species